rnacentral:rRNA from 1 species
GAUGAACGCUGGCGGCGUGCCUAAUACAUGCAAGUCGAGCGAAUGGAUUAAGAGCUUGCUCUUAUGAAGUUAGCGGCGGACGGGUGAGUAACACGUGGGUAACCUGCCCAUAAGACUGGGAUAACUCCGGGAAACCGGGGCUAAUACCGGAUAACAUUUUGAACCGCAUGGUUCGAAAUUGAAAGGCGGCUUCGGCUGUCACUUAUGGAUGGACCCGCGUCGCAUUAGCUAGUUGGUGAGGUAACGGCUCACCAAGGCAACGAUGCGUAGCCGACCUAAGAGGGGGCUCGGCCACACUGGGACUGAGACACGGCCCAGACUCCUACGGGAGGCAGCAGUAGGGAAUCUUCCGCAAUGGACGAAAGUCUGACGGAGCAACGCCGCGUGAGUGAUGAAGGCUUUCGGGUCGUAAAACUCUGUUGUUAGGGAAGAACAAGCGCUAGUUGAAUAAGCUGGCACCUUGACGGUACCUAACCAGAAAGCCACGGCUAACUACGUGCCAGCCGCCGCCGUAA